GCCAGGUCAAGCUGGUGCGCCCCAGGUGGAAGUCCCUCAAAUGGCCCAACGGCGUCGCUCCGGGGGAGUACGGCGGACUUCCGACCACCACCAAGCUCCGCAAGUACUGGAACGGCCGCGGCAAUGAGGAUCCCGUCACCGGCACCGACGACUUCAUCUGGAAAAAGGACUUCCUCAGCCGCAUGUAUCGCCUCCUCCGAGAAGACCCGGCCACCCCCAAUUACCCUCCUCCCGUAGUAUCUCUCAUCUCCAAUCACCAAAAUUCGAUCUUUCUCUGGGGUUUUCUUUGCCUCUAAUUUCUAAUUUAGUUUUUCCCUCCAAAAUAAACUAGAAGGAGCGAAGCUCGGGCUUUUUGAGCUAUGAUUUUGAUAGGUUCAUUACUACGUGGAAUCGGUGGAAAGUUCACUGCUAAUGAUCACUGAGCACACAUGCUUGUUUAUAUGUUGUUUCCUUAAGUGCCAAUGUCUGUCAAAGGUUGUCUUGGUACUUGAAUGGAUUUUCGUUGUAUGAUGUUGUCUUACGGGAAUCAAGAAGACAGAGAGGGGAUCCCAAGGGAAGGGAGCAGUAUUUCAAGUUGAAAUAGGAGAUGCAACUCCUUCCUUCGGGCAUUGGUGGCAUUGGAGUAGGCUCAUGCAUUUCCUACUCUCCUGAAAUUGGACCUAGGUUGGCCUGGAAGUACCAUGCUACAGUGAAUUGUUCUUCCGCCCCCCCCCCCCCCCCCCAAAAAGCACAAACAUACUUGUAGAAUAUCUACUGGGGUUUCCUUCCUGUAUUAUUUCUUUUCUUUUUUUUUUCCUUUCCCACAUUCACUUCUUUUUGCAGUAAAUAUUGAUUAGUUGCAUUUUAUGUUCAUUAUUCAUUUGCCAGUUUACACAUUUCGAUUCUUAUGCCUGCAAAUUCAGUGAAUUGUAUGUGGACCGUUACUGAAUUUUGUUAUCUAUUUCUAAUACAUGCAAUUAUCAAGCUUUCUCCUCCUUAUAAAUUUGAUGAACUCAUAUUGACAUAAUUCUUUGUAGCAAUGCUUGCUUGUGAUUAUUGUUCAAAGAAAAUGGAGCUUUUUUUGUUGCUUGUAUUUUCCUUGCAUCUUGUUUUGUGAUAAGUGCGGAUGCAUUUCACUUGAGUAUCCCAAGGAGCGCGCGUAAAUUGUAAACCAUAUCCUAGGAUAAUUUUAUAAAAGAAUGACCAUCAUUUCCCAUUAGUUCUCUUAUUCUAUAUUUCCAAAUAUCUAAGGUAAUUAAGGGAGCCUAAUAUAAACAUCAUGUGCAGGUCAAGAUUUUUCCUUAAAAAAUCAUUUCUUCACAGCAUUUGAUGCUUUGUUCUUCCUUAAGCUAAGUCGCAGGGCUGCUUGGUUCUUUGGUGUACAUACAUAUGCUUGGAAAUAGUGUAAAUUCCAUGGCAGCUGGGGCUAAAGGGAUGGUCAAGUAUGUAUUGCCUCCUUUGAAAUUAGUUACAAGCUAACUACAUGUCUAAAGACGAAGUAACCGUUUUUCUGAGUGGAGGAUAAGAAAGAUUAUAGCCCAUCUCAUUCUGGAUCUAUUUUAAGUCUCUCUCUCUCUCUCUCUCUCUCUCUCUCCCUCACACACACACACACAUUUAUGUUCAUUGCCAUUGAGAGCUUUGCUCCCAGCUAAAACAGGGUUUUCUAGAUCUUAGCUCGCAACUUUACUCCAUGUUUCUUAAGUCUUAAGACUCCUCACUUCUGAUCUCCAUGACAAUGAGAGCCUCCAUCCUUAUGAAUAUUGCUGCAGUCUUCAUCACAUGCAACCAGUACUCUGAAGAACUUAAUUAAUUUCUUAAUCAUGUAGCUGGAGGAUAAUUUGUGUCAUAUUGUAUGAAGAAUUAUUGGAGACUGUUUGAGAAUAUGAGUGAUGGACGUAAUAAUUUGGUCCCCACAAAUUAGCUAGGUGCCUCUAAAUGUCGACUCUAGAAAGGUCAUGCAUUUUGUAUGUCUAGUUUGCCUCAAGCCAAACAAGCGAUUGAGUGAUAUCUCUUGCUAAGAACACCAGAAAUGUCACCAUCACGUAUGUUUUUGGAUUUCAUGUUCUUGUAAGUGGAUGUAAGAUUUUUGUUCUUGUGUUUAUAGCAUGCUACCUUUAGUGUAGAUAAAUUAAAAGAAGAAAUGAAGAGCUUUUGUUUGUAAAGCUCAAAGAUUCACUGAAGAACGUGUCUUCAGGGGAGCAAUUGGCAACCAAGGCUACUGGUUCCAGUGGCACACUGGCACUUGUCAUGAAAUACAAUAGAUGGAAUGACUCAGUACGUUUGAAAGACUUUGUUGAUGCAUUCAAAAUGCAUGAACUGGUCAGGUCUCUGAGAAUUAUGCAUCAUGAAUAUUGCACUCAUUUAGUUUCCAUGGUUCUGAACUUUUUUCAAUAUCAUUCUUUCCAAUGAGGUACUUGUCCUUCAAUUUCAUCUCUAAGAGCUUGGAUAUUAGCCCUAGAUUACGGCUUCAUGCACCUGGCGCUGAUACCGAUGCUUGUCGGUUUUUUUCACAUGUAAGUUUGCCACUGUUGUCCAAGCUAUUCAGGAUGCUUUGAAUGCAGUUGAGAAGUGCCAAGUUUGAAUAUUAACGUCAAUGCCAUUGGCAUCUUAUGUGGAGAAUUAAGGACUUGUUUGGUUUGUGGAAAAAAAUUUUCCUCGUUAGAAUAUUUUUUCUGAAAAAAUGAUUCUUAAUAAUAUGAUGCCUAGAAAAAAGGUUUUAGUAUGUUUGGUUAAUCAUGAAAAAGUGGCACAUUUUAGAGUAGCUUAUGUUUCGUUGAGCAUCUACUUUUUUGGAAAAGUUGUAUGAAAUAUAUAUUGUAUUCUUAAUAAAGGGAAAGACCUUACUUAUGGAUUUUGAUGGUUUAAGGGUACUUUUGGAAAAAAAGGGACUCCAAUUUUCAAUUAGUGAGAAAGUAGCUUUCUUAUGUCUUCUAUGGAUUUUUUUUUCUAUGAAAUAUAAAAAUCUUAUUUUAAUAGGAUUGCUAAUUUUCCAUCUCUUUUCUUUGAAAACUCGAACCAAACAAGAGGUAUUUCUUUGUUUUUCCAUUGACCACACCUUCCUCCUUUUUCUACGAACCGAACGAGUCCAAAAUGAUUGUUGCACAGAAAUGAUGAUAAUCCAGUUAUAUGGUCAUAUAUUGGCAUUCAUUUGGUACUAUGAUGCAUCCAUGCUGAAUUUUUAAUGUUGUAUCAUCUAAAUCAUAUUCUAACUUGUGCAGGUUCAAAUUCCCAUGAAUAUAGAUAAACUGAUUUUAUAGGUAGAGAAUCAUGGAGAAAAUCCCACAGAAAUUUUUAAGGGUUCCAAUAUCUCUCCAACCAUUUUCUGAAUCAUCGACAUAUAGACACAAAGGUGGAAUUGAUAUCAAUUCUCUGUACAAUUGCCGUAUAUUCAUUGAAUCUAUUCUAACUGGACCAGAUUGGGGCCAACGAGAGAAGUGUAUGGACAAAUCAAGUGACGUAAAUCUGCGAACCCUAUCAUGUGUAACACAAGGACGUUGAUGUUAUACAAUCAGCUGGGAUUUGUGCAGCCCAUGGGUAAGGACAAAUGGAUGACUGGACAAGCUAACCAUUGUAUAUUUGCAUACAAGAUGGCAAGUGCUGCAAGGAAAGAGCAUCCUCCUCUACAGUGUACAGCAAAAGGUUGUGAAACAUUUGGUAUACUGAAGUAUCAGUGCGAAUACUGAAUUGUUUUUUUGGGAAGAAGCGAAUGCUGACAAUUGUUGCACAAAUGGUGAUCCUUAUCGAGCCAAAAAGAAGCUUGAAGACAAAAGCUCUUCCAGCCCGCCAUCGUUAUCCAUUUGGUUUGGAACAAGUUAUGAUGGACUACACAAUUUCCUGGCUGAUCAUCAGAAAAAAGAAAUUAGCCAGCAACAGGACCUUGUAGUAGAAGUAAAACAUUUUUUUUUUCAUUAAAUCAAUGCUUUUGGCGUGAAGAGAUGUAUAGGAACUGUUCUUUGACUUCACUUCCAUGAUGUGAAUGAGAAGUGAAGGUGAUCCACUUGUCAAUCCCUAAUACACUAUACAUUGUCUUUU